CCGCCCGUAGCUCAAUUGGUAGAGCAGCGGCCUUUUAAGCCGUUUGUUGAUGGUUCGAGUCCAUCCGGGCGGA
rnacentral:tRNA from 1 species